rnacentral:lncRNA from 1 species
GCACUUUGGGAGGCUGAGGCAGGCAGAUCAUGAGGUCAGAUCAAGACCAUCCUGGCCAACAUGGUGAAACCCUGUCUCUACUAAAAAUACAAAAAUUAGCCAGGCAUGGUGGUGCGUGCCUGUAAUCCCAGCUACUCAGGAGGCUGAGGCAGGAGAAUCCCUUGAACCAGGGAGUCGGAGGUUGUAGUGAGCCGAGAUCACGCCACUGCACUCCAGCCCGGUGAGAGAGUGAGACUCUGUUUCAGAAAAAAAAAAAAAAAAAAAAAAAAAAUCUUUAAUGAAGCGUAUUACCUCACUCCUUCUCCUGACUCUGAAGAGAUUGCCUCGUUGGGCCAGAAAGUAGGCAGGGAAGUCUCUCAGAAGCAAGAGGUAGGUGCCUUUCAUCCUGUGCACAGAAGUCCACACAGAAGAGUUGGAUUCACUGGCCUGACUGUCCUGUAUUCUGAAAUCACAGUGACCACAAAGAGCUACAACAGCUUAAACACAGAAAGCCAUGCCUCUAAAAAGUAUCCAAAUCACCACAUUCUUGUUCCUUUUUUUUACUGUUCAAAUACAUCGUCCAAAAGGAACAGAAAGAAUGUAAGUGUAGAGGGUACUUGGUGUGGCAGGCUUCAUAUUUGAGACUUUGCCUAGUGAUGAAUGACCUGGAAAGUUCACACCUUUAUUCUUUGCUUUUUGUCAUAAACACGCCAGUCUUUAUGAAGUUACAGACACUUUAAUUCUUUGUGUGAAAAAAAGACAGUCCAAAAUAAAUUAGGGUCAUGAAAUCAAACAGAAAUGAUUCUUAUCUCAAAAUGAUAUGUUGAGAUGCUGUCUGCCAAUGCAGAGAUUCUCCCGGAUUCCCCGUGGUAAGCCAGCAAAGGUCAGCCAUCCAUGGUAAUAAACAAAGACCAUCUGCCCCACAGCACCCCUAGUGGGCCUCAACAGCUGCCCAUCUUAUAGUCCCAGCCAAAGCGGUAGGUGUGAGAGCGUCCCCGGAAGACAGAGGGCACAGAGGCAUCUCUGCCAAAGACCAGCCCUUCGCAGCCAGGGAGGAUGAAAGAGCCUUAGGGCUUCAGUCUGGGCUCUGCACACUCCUGGGUGGCCUCUGCUCCCCCUCUACCCCUCCCACUCCUAUCCCACACCUCCUGGAUUGCAUCUGAUUGGGACCAAUAACAAACCAAGCCUGGUUUUGAGGUUUGGGUGGGAUGCUUGGCUUGGUUUUGUUUCCUCAGAGAGAGGCAGCCAGGAGGGCCUGCAAGGAACUGGCACCCAGCUGUGUCUAGGUGGGAGAAUGGGCUGAGGAUGGAGUUAGAGAUGGAAUGAGAGAGGCAGGGGGGAGGUGGCCUUCUGUGGAGGAAAGGCAUCAGGUGCCAGCAAGAGACUAGAAGGGGAGCCCUGACAUCUGUAAGCCCUGACUUAGAGCCUCUCUAAGAUGGCUCGGUGGGCUCUGAGCCUGCAGGGCUUUGGUCUAUGGAUGGGAGGGAUAGGAAGGAAGAAAUGUACUGCAGUGUUCCAGGGCUGCUCUGUGUGGAAGAAACAGGGUUACUAUUCAGGAGGCUGAGGUGGGGAGUUCAAGGCCAGCCUAGGCAACAUAGCAAGACCUUGUCUCAAUAUAAAUUAAUUGAAAUAAAUGUUAAAAUAAAAUAAAAAAGACUGGGCACGGUGGCUCAUGCUUGUAAUCCCAGCACUUUGGGAGGCCAAGGUGAGGGGAUCACCUGAGG